CCUAGAGUUGUAGGCUUUGCCUGCUAUCUCUUACCCAUGUCUUUUGAGUACCUUCGUUUCCUCGGCGGGUCCGCCCGCCGAUUGGACAAUCUAAACCAUUUGCAGUUGCAAUCAGCGUCUGAAAAAACUUAAUAGUUA
rnacentral:misc_RNA from 1 species